rnacentral:rRNA from 1 species
CCUACGGGAGGCUGCAGUGGGGGAUAUUGCACAAUGGGGGGAACCCUGAUGCAGCGACGCCGCGUGGGUGAAGGAGCGUUUCGGCGCGUAAAGCCCUAUCGGCAGGGAAGAAGAUGACGGUACCUGGCCAAGAAGCCCCGGCUAACUACGUGCCAGCAGCCGCGGUAAUACGUAGGGGGCAAGCGUUAUCCGGAUUUACUGGGUGUAAAGGGGGCGCAGACGGCAAUGCAAGCCAGGAGUGAAAGCCCGGGGCCCAACCCCGGGACUGCUCUUGGAACUGCAUGGCUGGAGUACAGGAGGGGCAGGCGGAAUUCCUAGUGUAGCGGUGAAAUGCUUAGAUAUCAGGAGGAACAUCGGUGGCGUAAGCGCUUUACUGGGCCGUAAUUGACGCUGAGGAACGAAAGCCAGGGUAGCAAAUGGGAUUAGAUACCCGAGUAGUC